UUUAACACGUGACAUACCUCAUCAGGUUGACACGUGACAUACCUCAUCAGUUUGACACGUGACAUACCUCAUCAGGUUGACACGUGACAUACCUCAUCAGGUUGACACAUGACAUACCUCAUCAGGUUGACACAUACCUCAUCAGGUGAACACGUGACAUACCUCAUCAGGUUGACACGUGACAUACCUCAUCAGGUUGACACGUGACAUACCUCAUCAGGUUGACACGUGACAUACCUCAUCAGGUUAACGCGUGACAUACCUCAUCAGGUUAACGCAUGACGUACCUCAUCAGGUUGACACGUACCUCAUCAGGUUAACACGUGACAUACCUCAUCAGGUUAACACGUGACAUACCUCAUCAGGUUGACACGUGACAUACCUCAUCAGGUGAACACGUGACAUAC